GACGAACGCUGGCGGCGUGCUUAACACAUGCAAGUCGAACGGAAAGGCCCUGCUUUUGUGGGGUGCUCGAGUGGCGAACGGGUGAGUAACACGUGAGUAACCUGCCCUUGACUUUGGGAUAACUUCAGGAAACUGGGGCUAAUACCGGAUAGGAGCUCCUGCUGCAUGGUGGGGGUUGGAAAGUUUCGGCGGUUGGGGAUGGACUCGCGGCUUAUCAGCUUGUUGGUGGGGUAGUGGCUUACCAAGGCUUUGACGGGUAGCCGGCCUGAGAGGGUGACCGGACACAGUGGGACUGAGAUACGGCGCAGAAUGCUACGGGAGGCAGAAGUGGGGGAUAGUGAGCAAUGGGCGGACGCCUGAUGCAGCAACGGCGCGUGCGGGAUGCCGGCCUUCGGGGUGUAAACCGCUUUCGCCGGUGACGAAGCGUGAGUGAGGGUAAUGGGUAAAGAAGCACCGGCUAGCUACGUG
rnacentral:rRNA from 1 species